rnacentral:lncRNA from 1 species
CCGAUCCCCUCUGCCCUUUCUGCAACGAAGGCUUCCUCGAGGAAUCGGAAAACCCUAACCCUACCCCCACCAAUCCUUUCCUUCAGCCGCCGCCGCUCCCCUUCUCUGACCCCUUCCAGGAUGCCUACUCCUCCAUCCUCCCUCUACUCUUCUCCUCCUCCGCUGGUCAUCCUAGCCUCGAUUUCGGAAGCCCUAACAUCUUCGGUGGCGGUCAUCAGCCUG